UUUUGGUUGUUGAAUGUAACUUUGCUUGAAGCAGGUUAUGCAUGUAAAGAAUCAAACAGCGAUUUCUAAAAGGCUAAGUCUUCUUCUUCCUUCUUAUAUAUUAAGACCAAGAAUGUAUUAUGACAUCACGAAAACAACUUUGCCUCCGCCUAACACUCAGGCUUUGCCAGAACAAAGUCAGUAAGAUGGUGCGGUAAUCAGCCUCCAAGAUGGCUACCAAGGAUUCCUGCCAUCUGGUGUUGACAACCUUGUGGAAUCUGAUCCCACAUUGUACCAGAGGUGGUCUGUGUGACUAACGGCACCUGGCAGAAGAGAUGGUUCUCGGAAAUAAAGCAGGCAGACCAAUUUCAAGUUUUAUAUAAUCACGUAACGCUGGGUUUUUCGAUACGUCAAAGACAUAUCUACUGGGGGAAAAUUGUGAAUCAUCAGAUGGACAUUUCCAGUUGUUGCAAGCCAGCAGCAUUUCAGAGAGGAGGAGGAAAGUCACAUCUGGCCAGAUCUUCAACGUGUUUCUAAGUCUGUUUGUCCCUGCCUCUCCUGCUGUUUCUUCUGCGUCCAAAAAUAUGAUUAACGUCUAUGAAUUUAUAACACUCUGCAUUGUAAGCAAGGCUGAGGGCUGUCCAUCCCAACGAGGGUGAGGUAUGGAGUUAAUGAGAAGUGAGACUGGGGAACGAACAGAAAGAUGCCAAUGUUAAAGUAAUUGAGCAUGAAUAUCAAACGCUGACUUGGGAACAGUCUUCGUUUGCUGAUAGAGAGUCUGAUCAGCUGGUGGGCAGAGGGAACAAGCACAGACCCGCAUUCGCAGCCGGCCCCAGAAAUUCCCUAUCACCACGGCGAAUGCAUUAUAACCUGGCGACCUUUGUGUCCCCAUCUGCAAUCAAGUGUUUUCUUUUUCCCCUUCUUUCCUUCCCUCCCUCCCUCUUUAUUUCUUUCCUUCCUAUGAAAGGUUUCCUUCCUUCUUUCUGAAUUGAUCUCAUCCGUCCCCAAACCUCAUAAAGAAUUUAAAUUUUUGUGUUGGUAACUGCUGUUUUUUUACAAACACGUAUGACUUGCUAAUGCAAGUUCAGAAUAACACAGAUGGCGGUGUGCGGCAAGAAUUGCUGAGGCUAUAAUUUUUCUUUUAAAAACUCUGCGUUGUCCUCUAAAACCAGCGAAAGUU